AUUGAACGCUGGCGGCAUGCUUUACACAUGCAAGUCGAACGGUAACAGGGAGCUUGCUCCGCUGACGAGUGGCGAACGGGUGAGUAAUGCGUCGGAACGUGCCGAGUAGUGGGGGAUAACGCAUCGAAAGGUGUGCUAAUACCGCAUACGAACUGAGGUUGAAAGUGGGGGGACCUUCGGGCCUCACGCUAUUCGAGCGGCCGACGUCUGAUUAGCUAGUUGGUGAGGUAAAGGCUCACCAAGGCGACGAUCCGUAACUGGUCUGAGAGGAUGAUCAGUCACACUGGAACUGAGACACGGUCCAGACUCCUACGGGAGGCAGCAGUGGGGAAUAUUGGACAAUGGGCGAAAGCCUGAUCCAGCCAUGCCGCGUGUGUGAAGAAGGUCUUCGGAUUGUAAAGCACUUUAAGUUGGGAGGAAGAGCAGUAAGUUAAUACCUUGCUGUUUUGACGUUACCGACAGAAUAAGCACCGGCUAACUUCGUGCCAGCCGCCGCGGUAACAC
rnacentral:rRNA from 1 species